rnacentral:rRNA from 1 species
GUAGGGAAUCUUCCACAAUGGACGAAAGUCUGAUGGAGCAACGCCGCGUGAGUGAAGAAGGUCUUCGGAUCGUAAAACUCUGUUGUUAGAGAAGAACGUGCAUGAUAGUAACUGAUCAUGUAAUGACGGUAUCUAACCAGAAAGCCACGGCUAACUACGUGCCAGCAGCCGCGGUAAUACGUAGGUGGCAAGCGUUGUCCGGAUUUAUUGGGCGUAAAGGGAACGCAGGCGGUUUUUUAAGUCUGAUGUGAAAGCCUUCGGCUUAACCGAAGAAUAGCAUUGGAAACUGGAAGACUUGAGUGCAGAAGAGGAGGUUGGAAUUCCAUGUGUAGCGGUGAAAUGCGUAGAUAUAUGGAGGAACACCAGUGGCGAAAGCGGCUCUCUGGUCUGUAACUGACGCUGAGGUUCGAAAGCGUGGGUAGCAAACAGGAUUAGAUACCCUUGUAGUCC